GAUGAACGCUGGCGGCGUGCCUAAUACAUGCAAGUCGAGCGAACAGACGAGGAGCUUGCUCCUCUGACGUUAGCGGCGGACGGGUGAGUAACACGUGGAUAACCUACCUAUAAGACUGGGAUAACUUCGGGAAACCGGAGCUAAUACCGGAUAACAUGUUGAACCGCAUGGUUCAACAGUGAAAGACGGUCUUGCUGUCACUUAUAGAUGGAUCCGCGCCGCAUUAGCUAGUUGGUAAGGUAACGGCUUACCAAGGCAACGAUGCGUAGCCGACCUGAGAGGGUGAUCGGCCACACUGGAACUGAGACACGGUCCAGACUCCUACGGGAGGCAGCAGUAGGGAAUCUUCCGCAAUGGGCGAAAGCCUGACGGAGCAACGCCGCGUGAGUGAAGAAGGUCUUCGGAUCGUAAAACUCUGUUAUUAGGGAAGAACAAAUGUGUAAGUAACUAUGCACAUCUUGACGGUACCUAAUCAGAAAGCCACGGCUAACUACGUG
rnacentral:rRNA from 1 species